UGGCCAUCCACAGAUACAGGUAAUCCUAUCAUUAAUGGGUUUUUUCCCACAAUUAGGCUGAUUUAUAAUAAUAUGUAAGUAUAAGAUAUUUUAGU